rnacentral:rRNA from 1 species
AUUGAACGCUGGCGGCAGGCCUAACACAUGCAAGUCGAACGAGUGGCGGACGGGUGAGUAAUGUCUGGGAAACUGCCCGAUGGCGGGGGAUAACUACUGGAAACGGUAGCUAAUACCGCAUACCAUCGGAUGUGCCCAGAUGGGAUUAGCUAGUAGGUGGGGUAACGGCUCACCUAGGCAACGAUCCCUAGCUGGUCUGAGAGGAUGACCAGCCACACUGGGACUGAGACACGGUCCAGACUCCUACGGGAGGCAGCAGUGGGGAAUAUUGCACAAUGGGCGAAAGCCUGAUGCAGCCAUGCCGCGUGUAUGAUGAAGGCCUUCGGGUUGUAAAGUACUUUCGGCAGAGAAGCGUUACUCGCAGAAUAAGCACCGGCUAACUCCGUGCCAGCAGCCGCGGUAAUAC